GACGAACGCUGGCGGCGUGCUUAACACAUGCAAGUCGAACGAAGUGGCGAACGGGUGAGUAAUGCGUAAUCAACCUGCCCUUCAGAGGGGGACAACAGUUGGAAAAGUCUGUUAUUCCGCCAUACUGAUGAAGGGGUUUGCGUCUGAUUAGCUAGUUGGUGGGGUAACGGCCCACCAAGGCGAGGAUCAGUAGCCGGUCUGGGAGGAUGAACGGCCACAUUGGGACUGAGACACGGCCCAGACUCCUACGGGAGGCAGCAGUGGGGAAUCUUCCGCAAUGGACGAAAGUCUGACGGAGCAACGCCGCGUGAGUGAUGACGGCCUUCGGGUUGUAAAGCUCUGUUAAUCGGGACGCGGUACCGGAAUAGAAAGCCACGGCUAACUACGUGCCAGCCGCCGCGGUAAUUC
rnacentral:rRNA from 1 species